ACCUGGAGAUAGCUGGCUCUCCCCGAAAUGCCUUUAGGGACAGCCUCAUACAAAGAUGCCGGAGGUAAAGCACUGGAUGGGAGCGGGGAUGUCAAAGUCUACCAAUUCCAAUCAAACUCUGAAUGCCGGCAUCCAACGUAUGGGAGUGAGACUGUGUGCGCCAAGGUUCAUAGUCAAGAGGGAAACAGCCCAAACCGUCAGCUAAGGUCCCGAAAUAGUGCUAAGUGUUAAAUGAAGUCCGGAUGCACAGACAGCCAGGAGGUUGGCUCAGAAGCAGCCAUUCCUUGAAAGAGUGCGUAACAGCUCACUGGUCGAGCAUGCGGGCGCAGACAAUGUAACGGGGCUAAGCAUUAUACCGAAGCUGCGGAUCUUGCGCAAAGGCGCAAGGUGGUAGGGGAGCAUGCCGUCAACCGGCGAAGGCGGAUCCGCGAGGGCCGCUGGAGGAAACGGCAGAGAGAAUGCAGGCAUAAGUAACGAAAAGACGGGUGUGAUUCCCGUCCGCCGAAAACAUAAGGUUUCCAGGGUAAAGGCAAUCUGCCCUGGGUAAGUCGGAGCCUAAGUCCAGGCCGAAAGGCGUAGGCGAUGGUAAUCCGGUUCAAAAUCCGGAACCUCCGGCAUUUCGAUGCCACGACGCAUGAGGCGACGUCCGGCGGGAGAACGGUAGUUCCCGUCCAAGCAUUGAGCCGUCAAGGGAGGGGGUUAAAUGAUCCUCCCAGGCGAGAUGUGACAGCGAGCUGAGAGAAAGUCGAAGCGAAGCGGGCAGAGUCAAGGUGCCGAGAAAGAGUGGCUAGGCAAGGUGCCGGAGUCCGUACCGUAAACGGACACACGUAUGUAGGAUGAGUAAUCUAAGGCGCUCGAGCGACCUCGCGUUAAGGAACUCGGCAAAAUGCGCACGUAACUUCGGAAGAAGUGCGGCUCCUGUUUGAAAGGAUAAGGAGCGGCAGAAAGCAGGCCCAGGCGACUGUUUAUCAAAAACACAGCCAUCUGCGAACCAGCAAUGGGACGUAUAGGUGGUGACACCUGCCCGGUGCCGGAAGGUUAAGGGGAGAAGUCAGCCGCAAGGCGAAGCCUCGAACCGAAGCCCCGGUAAACGGCGGCCGUAACUAUAACGGUCCUAAGGUAGCGAAAUUCCUUGUCGGGUAAGUUCCGACCCGCACGAAUGGUGUAACGAUUCUGGGCACUGUCUCAACGCGAGACUCGGUGAAAUUUAUAUUCCGGUAAAGAAGCCGGAUACUCAUAAUUAGACGGAAAGACCCCGUGAACCUUCACCGUAACUUAGCAUGGGGAUCCUAUUCAUCAUGUGUAGGAUAGCUGGGAGCCAGCGAGGCGUGGCCGUCAGGCUGCGCGGAGGCGCCGGUGAAAUACCAGCCCUGAUGAAUGGGAUUUCUAACCCUGGCCCUGAAGCGGGUCCGGGGACAAUGCUAGGCAGGCGGUUUGACUGGGGCGGUCGCCUCCCAAAGAGUAACGGAGGUGCGCGAAGGUCUCCUCACCGCGGUUGGAAAUCGCGGCGCGAGUGUAAAGGCACAAGGAGGCUUGACUGCGAGGGCCACAACCCGAGCAGGUGCGAAAGCAGGUCUUAAUGAUCUGAUGGUUCCGAGUGGAAGGGCCAUCACUUAACGGACAAAAGGUACUCCGGGGAUAACAGGCUGAUUUUCCCCAAGAGUUCACAUCGACGGGAAAGUUUGGCACCUCGAUGUCGGCUCAUCGCAUCCUGGGGCUGGAGCAGGUCCCAAGGGUUUGGCUGUUCGCCAAUUAAAGCGGUACGUGAGCUGGGUUCAGAACGUCGCGAGACAGUUCGGUCCCUAUCUGUUAUGAGCGAAGGAGAUUUGAGAGGAGCUGCCUUUAGUACGAGAGGACCGAGGUGGACGAACCUCUGGUGUGCCGGUUGUCCUGCCAAGGGCAAGCGCCGGGUAUCUAAGUUCGGAAGGGAUAACCGCUGAAAGCAUCUAAGCGGGAAGCCCACCUCAAGACAAGAUCUCCCCGGGGAUUAAUCCCCCUGAAGACUCCGGAGACACUAUCCGGUCGAUAGGAUGCAGGUGCAAGCGUGGCGACGCGUUCAGCCGAGCAUUACUAAUAAGUCGUGAGGCUUGACC
rnacentral:rRNA from 1 species